UGGCGGACGGGUGAGUAACGCGUGGGGGAACCUGCCCUGUACAGGGGGAUAACACUUAGAAAUAGGUGCUAAUACCGCAUAAGCGCACAGUAUCGCAUGAUACAGUGUGAAAAACUCCGGUGGUACAGGAUGGACCCGCGUCUGAUUAGCUGGUUGGCGGGGUAGGGCCCACCAAGGCGACGAUCAGUAGCCGGCCUGAGAGGGUGACGGCCACAUUGGGACUGAGACACGGCCCAAACUCCUACGGGAGGCAGCAG
rnacentral:rRNA from 1 species